rnacentral:tRNA from 1 species
GGCCUAAUGGCCCAAUGGCAAGGCGCUUGACUACGAAUCAAGAGAUUCCAGGUUGUAAGUAUUAGCCCAAGAUUCGAGCUAGAGUUCGAAUACUAACGAUGAAUAGCGACCCCUGGUUAGGUCA